rnacentral:rRNA from 1 species
GAGGGAUCAUUACAGAGCUCGCUAAAACACUCCCAAACCCAUGGUGAACAUUACCGUUUGUUGCCUCGGCAGGACCUACCCGGUAGCUACCCUGUAGUUACCCUGUAGCCUGCCGGUGGACCUCUAAACUCUUGUUAUUUUAUGGAAAUCUGAGCGUCUUAUUUAAUAAGUCAAAACUUUCAACAACGGAUCUCUUGGUUCUGGCAUCGAUGAAGAACGCAGCGAAAUGCGAUAAGUAAUGUGAAUUGCAGAAUUCAGUGAAUCAUCGGAUCUUUGAACGCAUCUUGCGCUCUUUGGUAUUCCAAGGAGCAUGCCUGUUUGAGUGUCAUUAAGUUCUCAACCAUAUUAAAUUCUUUUAAUGUGGCUUGGUUGUUGGAAGCUUGCAGGUCAUUUUAUAUAGAUCUGCUCUUCUAAAAUGGAUUAGUGGUAUCUGAGCAGACACUACUACAGAUGUGAUAAUUAUUAUUUACAUCUUAGUCAUGCUGCAAUAGUAGAUUAUACUGCUUCUAACACACAUUAUGAUAUAUUUGACCUCAAAUCAGGUAGGACUACCCGCUGAACUUAAGCAUAUCAAUAAGCGGAGGAAAAGAAACUAACAAGGAUUCCCUUAGUAACUGCGAGUGAAGUGGGAAAAGCUCAAAUUUGAAAUCUGGCAGCUUUUAACUGUCCGAGUUGUAAUCUAGAGAAGUGUUACCUGUCCUGGACCAUGUACAAGUCUUCUGGAAUGGAGUAUCAUAGAGGGUGAGAAUCCCGUCUUUGACAUGGACUACCAGUGCAUUAUGGUGUGCUCUCAAAGAGUCGAGUUGUUUGGGAAUGCAGCUCAAAAUGGGUGGUAAAUGCCAUCUAAAGCUAAAUAUUGGCAAGAGACCGAUAGUGAACAAGUACCGUGAGGGAAAGAUGAAAAGAACUUUGGAAAGAGAGUUAAACAGUACGUGAAAUUGCUGAAAGGGAAACGCUUGAAGUCAGUCACAUUGGCUAGAAAUCAGCCUUGCUUUUGCUGGGUGUAUUUUCUUGUCGAUGGGUCAGCAUCAAUUUUGACUGCUGGAUAAAUUCUUUGGGAAUGUGGCAUCUUUGGAUGUGUUAUAGCCCAUAGUUGUAUACAGUGGUUGGGAUUGAGGAAUCUCAGCAUGCCGCCAAGGUUGGGUAUUAAACCC